rnacentral:rRNA from 1 species
UACGGAGGGUGCAAGCGUUAUCCGGAAUCAUUGGGUUUAAAGGGUCCGCAGGCGGAAAGAUAAGUCAGUGGUGAAAUCUCACAGCUCAACUGUGAAACUGCCAUUGAUACUGUCUUUCUUGAAUUCGAUCGAAGUGGGCGGAAUGUGACAUGUAGCGGUGAAAUGCUUAGAUAUGUCACAGAACACCGAUAGCGAAGGCAGCUUACUAAGGAGUAACUGACGCUGAGGCACGAAAGUGUGGGGAUCAAACAGG